CUACUAGGAAGAAAAUUAACUUACAUUUUUACUUCCUUAGGUUUCCUGUGUGAAGGGAAGAUGUUGGGCAUUUACUGAUAUUGCUGGCUACUGCUACCCUGAACUGAGAUUCAUUUUGUGAUCAGUUUUGGAAGCCUGAGGAUGAGAGGAGUUGUGCAUUGAUCUGCUCCUGUUGCUUUACAGGCACAGCAGAAAGAUCACUGACAUUCAGCAGCGGUGCCUUUUGGUGGCGCCAGAGCCUCGGACCACAGCCUGGAUUACAGACGCAUGCCAGUAUUUCUCUGCCUCUUCAGGAAGAAAUUGGAUGUCUUUUUCAAUGAGAAAUGUUAAUCAGAUAGAAAUUACUGGGCUCACUACAGCAGGCAAAUAGUUCAAACCUGUGUUCUGUAUCAUGCAGGAGUUUUGGGACCACGCUGAACCCAUGAAUAUCCAGAGACGGACCCCACUUCCUAGUCCAACAGUGGCUUCUGUUGAACUGCAACUUGGUAACGAAGGAGGAAAAACAGCACUCGCAGCACUCGCCAUGUUCUUAGUUGGGAAACUUACUCCUGGUCUAUAUUUCUUGCUGUGUUUUCAGUGUUAGGCCUCAUGCCCUGCGUUAAGCCAAAUGAACAACUUAGUGCUGUGCAAUGCCCCAUGGAGAAAAGUACUGCUUUCAUGUGACAGAUGCAAACUACUGUGCUGGGGAGUGGCAGGCUGAUGUUGAGUCGACUAGCCUUUGCAGCAUUACAAAGCCAUGCUGAGCAAAUAAAAACAUCAGUCGAGCUACUUUUGAAGCAGGGUUGGCAGCUUGGGCAUUUCUGUAUCGCACGAGCUCUUGACUCGUGGGCUAGCAGUUCUUCUGGAACUUCCCUGUCAGGGCCUCUGAGACUGAUGUAGACUGAUAGCACACAGUCAUCAAGCAGAUCUGCUGAGAAAGGGGAGAGUUGCACACCAACUGGUGAUUUCUGACUAGAUUGCACUCAUUCUGUAGAAAACAGUCCAGGGAAAGACAUGCCGACACCAUCAUGUUUCCAGGUGAAUGUCUCCAUAGGGGUGGACAGGGCUAGCUCUUCAUCUUGAGACUAAAAAGAUGUCCUGUCCUGAAAAAAUUACUGUCUCAUUCUAUACAGAAGUGCUGAGAUAGACUGUUAUGGGUCAUUAAUACAUACCUACCUGCCAUUGUUAUUUGAAGAAUAUCAAGUCAUGCAGGUACCUACCACCUGUAGUUAUUUUGUUUUUUUUUUUUUAAUUGUAUUUUAUUUAUUAAUUAGGUUGGAAAAGCUUUCCUUCUCUGGACAGCAGGCCCAAAGCCACCCUCACAGACACUAGGAGACUGGAAUACCAUGCCAGCUGCUGGAGAUGCACGUUUGACCCAGAAGUAUAGAUGCCUGUAUUAUACCCAGCACUAGCAAGUAUACCAGUUUGAGGACAGGGGAGUGCAGUAUGCUGUAUCACCUGGGAAGAAGCUACUUGAAGGUCAGUUACUGCACAGCAACCUCUGCAUGCAGGCUUUCUGGUCCAUGGGGGGCACAUGGAGGGUCUGUAUCCCAACACAGCUGACUCACAAAGACAACAGAGCUGCGGUAAGUUCAGAAAAAUUGCUUGCACUACCCCCUGUAUGGAACAAAGGUGGAGAAUGAGACUCCCCUGCAAGGAAAGUGACAGGACAGAAACAACACCGUAGCGAGUGCUCCUGCAGUAUUGUGAUGUGCUUCUGUAACAAGCAGCAGUUUAUAAAGCACUGAUUAAUCUAGUAGAAGCAGGAUUUUUUCAACACCUUAGAUGGGGAAAGGGACUAAGACUGUAAUUGCUGCCUUUGAAUUUCUAGUACCCCGAGGUCUGUCAAGAGAUGCGCUGGCCACUCCCUAGGUUGCAGUACUCCCCAGCUAGUUCUUUACCAGGCUCCUUCACAGCAUUCUGUUGAGUACAGCAGAUCUGUUUCCAUCUUCCAAAUGAAGCACGCAAAAUUUGUUGUCUGCUUUUUAUCAUAUGAUACAUCACAACAAAAUUCCAGCGGCUUGCUU